rnacentral:rRNA from 1 species
AACGCGAAGAACCUUACCAAGUCUUGACAUCCCAAUGACCGGAACUUAACCGUUCCUUCCCUACGGGGCAUUGGAGACAGGUGGUGCAUGGUUGUCGUCAGCUCGUGUCGUGAGAUGUUGGGUUAAGUCCCGCAACGAGCGCAACCCUUAUCCUUAGUAGCCAGCAGUUCGGCUGGGCACUCUAGGGAGACUGCCAGGGAUAACCUGGAGGAAGGUGGGGAUGACGUCAAAUCAUCAUGCCCCUUAUGAUUUGGGCUACACACGUGCUGCAAUGGCGUAAACAAAGGGAAGCGACCCCGCGAGGGCAAGCAAAUCUCAAAAAUAACGUCUCAGUUCGGAUUGCAGGCUGCAACUCGCCUGCAUGAAGCUGGAAUCGCUAGUAAUCGCGAAUCAGAAUGUCGCGGUGAAUACGUUCCCGGGUCUUGUACACACCG